GAUCCUGGCUCAGGACGAACGCUGGCGGCGUGCUUAACACAUGCAGGUCGAACGAGAAUCUACUGAAAGAGUUUUCGGACAAUGGAUGUAGAGGAAAGUGGCGGACGGGUGAGUAACGCGUGAGGAACCUGCCUUGAAGAGGGGGACAACAGUUGGAAACGACUGCUAAUACCGCAUAACGCAUAGGGGUCGCAUGAUCUUUAUGCCAAAGAUUUAUUGCUUCAAGAUGGCCUCGCGU
rnacentral:rRNA from 1 species